rnacentral:rRNA from 1 species
GAUGAACGCUGGCGGCGUGCCUAAUACAUGCAAGUCGAGCGAACAGACGAGGAGCUUGCUCCGCGGACGUGAGCGGCGGACGUGUGAGUAACACGUGGAUAACCUACCUAUAAGUCUGGUAACACUUCGGGAAACCGGAGCUAAUACCGGAGAAUAUAUUGAACCGCAGGGUGGAAUAGUGAAAGACGGUGUUGCGGUCACGUAUAGAUGGAUCCGCGCCGCAUGAGGUGGUUGGUAAGGUAAUGGGUUAUCAAGGCAACGAUGCGUGGCCGACUUGAGAGGGUGGUCGCCCACACUGGAACUGAGACACGGUCCAGACGCCUACGGGAGGCCGCAGUAGGGUACCUUACGCAAUAGGCGGAAGCAUGACGGAGCAACGCCGCGUGAGUGAUGACGGUCUUCGGAUCGUAAAACCCUGUUAUUGGUUAUAAACAACUGUGUCAGUAAAUAUGCCCGUCUUGACGGUAACUAAUCAGAAAGCCACGGCUAACUACGUG